CGGCCAAGGCUUCCGUAAAUUAACCCUCCCCUUCAAAUGAGAGCUAGUCUGCUAGCUUGAAUCGAGUACGUUUCGGUCAGGCGCGCGGUCGAUACGUAGGUGGCCAAGCAUCAUCCUGUAGUGACUGGGCGUAAAGAAGUUGCGUAGGUGGUUAGUAAAAAUGAAAUAGUGAAACAUGGUGGGCUCAAUCAUACCAGACUAUUAUUUAAACUCACUAACUCGAGAGUGGUAGAGGUAACUGGAAUUUCUAGUGUAGGAGUGAAAUCCGUAGAUAUUAGAAGGAACACCAAUGGCGUAGGCAGGUUACUGGACCAUCUCUGACACUAAGGCACGAAAGCGUGGGGAGCGAACCGGAUUAGAUACCCGGGUAGUCCACGCCGUAAACGAUGGAUACUAGCUGUUGGAGGUAUCGACCCCUUCAGUAGCGAAGCUAACGCGUUAAGUAUCCCGCCUGUGGAGUACGGUCGCAAGACUAAAACAUAAAGGAAUUGACGGGGAUCAGCACAAGCGGUGGAUUAUGUUCUUUAAUUCGAUGAUAACCGAUGAACCUUACCAGGGUUUGACAUCCAGGAAAGCACUACGAAAGUAGAGUGUGCCUUUUGGAAUCCUGUGACAGGUGUUGCAUGGCCGUCGUCAGCUCGUGUCGUGAGAUGUUUGGUUAAGUCCAUCAACGAGCGCAACCCUUGUGAAUAGUUGUAUUUUCCUAUUCAGACUGCUCUAGUAAUAGGGAGGAAGGAGGGGAUGAUGUCAGGUCAGUAUUACCCUUACACCCUGGGCUAGAAACAUAAUACAAUGGCCGGUACAAUGCGCAGCGAAGCAGCAAUGUGGAGCAAAUCGCAUCAAAGCCGGUCCCAGUUCGGAUAAGAGGGUGAAACUCGCCUCUUUGAAGCCGGAAUCGCUAGUAAUCGCAAAUCAGCAAGUUGCGGUGAAUACGUCACUGAUCUUGUACUCACCGCCCGUC
rnacentral:rRNA from 1 species